CAAAAACAUUUUUAUUAGAAAUUAUGAAUAAUACAAUCUGCUCAAUGAAUAUUAAAUAGCCGCUUAUAGUGCUAAGGUAGCAUAAUCAUUUGUCUUUUAAUUAAAGGCUAGAAUAAAAGAUUAUUCAUUUAAAUUUAUUUUAUUAAAUAAAUUUAAAAAUUAUUUUAAUUGUAAAAAAACAAUUAUAUAAAUGAAAGACGAUAAGACCCUAUUAAAUUUUACUUUUGUUUAACUGGGGAAGUUAAAUAAAUAUCAUUUUAUUUUAAAUAUAAAAUAAAUUGAUCUAACUUAAUUAAUUUUCUGAUUAAAUUACUAUAGGGAUAACAGCAUAAUAGAAUUUUUAAGUUCUUAUUUAAAAUAAUGUUUAUGACCUCGAUGUUGAUUUAAUAUUCUUAUUUAUGUAAUAGUAAAUAAAGAAAGUCUGUUCGACUUUUAAUUAAUUACAUGAUCUGAGUUCAAACCGGAG
rnacentral:rRNA from 1 species